UUGAUUGUUGACCUGCACCCUACUAGCACCAGCUGGGUAAUUACAAGCCAUGGGCCACACACAGUCUCCAGCCUCGGUGCCUGCAGUCUCUCACUGACACCAGCCCAGCAGAGUUCUGUCCUGGACACAACAAAAAACAACCACGUGGUGAAAUCCAGACUGCGCAAUCUUCCCGCGCCAGACGCGAGUACAAGGGAAAUGAGACCAACUAAAAGAGGAUGCUUUUCAAAUGAUGAUAUUGCAACUUA